ACGGGCAGGUAAGACGUGAAACACCCGAUCCCAUUCCGACCUCGAUACGUGAAAUCGUCUUGCGCCAUAUGUACUGCUGAAGCGGGAGACAUGGUCAAAGCCCGGUU
rnacentral:rRNA from 1 species